rnacentral:rRNA from 1 species
CCUACGUGAGGCAGCAGUGAGGAAUAUUGGUCAAUGGACGCAAGUCUGAACCAGCCAUGCCGCGUGCAGGAAGACGGCUCUAUGAGUUGUAAACUGCUUUUGUACGAGGGUAAACGCAGAUACGCGUAUCUGUCUGAAAGUAUCGUACGAAUAAGGAUCGGCUAACUCCGUGCUAGCAGCCGCGGUAAUACGGAGGAUUCAACCGUUACCCGGAUUUAGUGGGUUGAACGGGUUCGUAGGCGGUCGGAUAAGUUAGAGGUGAAAUCCCGAGGCUUAACUUCGGAAUUGCCUCGGAUACGGUUCGGCUAGAGAGUAGUAGCGGUAGGCGGAAUGUAUGGUGUAGCGGUGAAAUGCUUAGAGAUCAUACAGAACACCGAGUGCGAAGGCAGCUUACCAGGCUACUUCUGACGUUGAGGCACGAAAGCGUGGGGAGCAAACAGGAUUAGAUACCCCAGUAGUC